rnacentral:lncRNA from 1 species
GCGCGUUUAUGAAAGGGAAAUAUUGUGCAUUCCUGGGCAGCUGGAUAAGCCUGGAAUGGUGGGUUUUGCUAGGAAUUUGGUGCCCUGCUAACGAGCUGGUUUGCUUCUCUGGGUAUCUAGGAAGUUCCCGGGUAACUCGGCAUGUACUGCAGGCCCGGGCGUGGACGGAAUGCGCAUGCCUACAUCACAGAUCUAUGUGAUAAUAUUCUAUGCGUUAUCCCCAGGUCGGAACUCUUCUGGUGGAAGACAGUCACGACAAGGAAUGGCAACCCAGCUCAAAAUGACUUUGGUCUCCUCAGAUCGCUCUGGUGCAGAACCAUUCUGUUCUACCCAGGAGAAGGGCCCUGAGAGCCUUCCUGCCUGCCCUGGGCCUGCAGCCCAGACCCAAGACAAACCUUGAGGAGCUUGAAGGCUGGAGAAGAGUGGGAUUCUCAGGAGCGAACUGCUGGGUGCGCGGCGUCAUAGGGCGUAUCUUUGGGCAGGAGUAGAAGUACGCACGUGUAAGACGAUCCCCGCUGUGGUGCCCAUGUCACUGUCUCUGCCCGCUUCCCUAUCUUCAUUUUUCUACCAACAUUUUAAUGCUACAGGAAAAUUCCAUCACGGGUGCAUUUAACUUGAGUGGAUUUUACUGUAUCUGCUCAGAAGAGGAAGGAAAUCUCUGGGUGCGUAUUUGGC